rnacentral:rRNA from 1 species
AUUGAACGCUGGCGGCGUGCUUUACACAUGCAAGUCGGACGAGUGGCGGACGGGUGAGUAACGCAUCGGAACGUGCCGAGUAAUGGGGGAUAACUGCUCGAAAGGACAGCUAAUACCGCAUAUCAUCAGAUCGGCCGAUGUGUGAUUAGCUGGUUGGCGGGGUAAAGGCUCACCAAGGCGACGAUCAGUAGCGGGUCUGAGAGGAUGAUCCGCCACACUGGGACUGAGACACGGCCCAGACUCCUACGGGAGGCAGCAGUGGGGAAUUUUGGACAAUGGGCGCAAGCCUGAUCCAGCCAUGCCGCGUGUCUGAAGAAGGCCUUCGGGUUGUAAAGCACUUUUGUCAGGGAAGCGGUACCUGCAGAAGAAGCACCGGCUAACUACGUGCCAGCAGCCGCGGUAAUUC